rnacentral:rRNA from 1 species
UACGUAGGGGGCGAGCGUUGUCCGGAUUUAUUGGGCGUAAAGAGCUCGUAGGCGGUUCGGUAAGUCGGGUGUGAAAACUUUGGGCUCAACCCAAAGCCUGCACUCGAUACUGCUGUGACUUGAGUCCGGUAGGGGAGUGGGGAAUUCCUGGUGUAGCGGUGGAAGUGCGCAGAUAUCAGGAGGAACACCGGUGGCGAAGGCGCCACUCUGGGCCGGUACUGGCGCUGAGGAGCGAAAGCGUGGGGAGCGAACAGG